rnacentral:rRNA from 1 species
GACGAACGCUGGCGGCGUGCCUAAUACAUGCAAGUAGGACGCAGUUGCGAACGGGUGAGUAACGCGUAGGUAACUACCUAUUAGAGGGGGAUAACUAUUGGAAACGAUAGCUAAUACCGCAUACUAGUAAAUGGACCUACUUUGUAUUAGCUAGUAGGUCGGGUAAUGGCCUACCUAGGCAACGAUACAUAGCCGAUCUUGGAGGGUGAGCGGCCACACUGGGACUGAGACACGGCCCCUACUCCUACGGGAGGCAGAAGUAGGGAAUCUUCGGCAAUGGGGGGAACCCUGACCGAGCAACGCCGCGUGAGUGAAGAAGGUUUUCGUAUCGUAAAGCUCUGUUGUUAAGGAAGCGGUACUUAACCAGAAAGGGACGGCUAACUACGUGCCAGCAGCCGCGGUAAUAC